rnacentral:rRNA from 1 species
AAUUCGACGCAACGCGAAGAACCUUACCUGGCCUUGACAUGCAGAGAACUUUCCAGAGAUGGAUUGGUGCCUUCGGGAACUCUGACACAGGUGCUGCAUGGCCGUCGUCAGCUCGUGUCGUGAGAUGUUGGGUUAAGUCCCGUAACGAGCGCAACCCCUAUCCCUAGUUGCUAGCAGUUCGGCUGAGAACUCUAGGGAGACUGCCGGUGACAAACCGGAGGAAGGUGGGGAUGACGUCAGGUCAUCUUGGCCCUUACGGCCAGGGCUACACACGUGCUACAAUGGUGCGCACAGAGGGCUGCAAACCCGCGAGGGGGAGCCAAUCUCACAAAACGCAUCGUAGUCCGGAUCGCAGUCUGCAACUCGACUGCGUGAAGUCGGAAUCGCUAGUAAUCGUGAAUCAGAAUGUCACGGUGAAUACGUUCCCGGGCCUUGUACACACCGCCCGUCACACCAUGGGAGUGGAUUGCACCAGAAGUGGUUAGUCUAACCUUCGGAGGA